AUGGUCGCGGUCAUCGUUUCCUGCUCCCCGGAAAGCUCCGGCUCCGGCUGCCGUAAACAUAUCCCACGCCUCGAUCGCGGCGGCCGUGUCAGCGGGGCGAUUGGGCUACCUGGAUCCGGUGAAUCUCGGGGGCGGGAGAGAACGGGAUGGCGAAUACGUUUUGUUAUUCCGCGGCCAGCCACGCCGCGCCAAGCCGGCCGUCAGAGCGGAUCACGUGUCCAGGGCUCCAAAGGAUACUGGAUAGUGGAUACGGCUCUACGCCAUGUAGCUGUAUUGGUUUUGCUUUUGUUUUUGUACACUUAUCAGUUUCUCUGUCAGAGUAUACUUGUGUAG
rnacentral:rRNA from 1 species